rnacentral:sRNA from 1 species
UGAACCUGGAGAAGAAA